CCGAAUAUUGCAAGCCUGCAAGAUCUCAUGCUCCCCCUCAAAAUGUGUGAGAUCAAGUUUGACAUGUUCAAUGACGACAAUGACGAGGCCUUCAUCGAUCAUUGGAUCAGCAAUGUCCAGUGGCUGUUGCUCACCAUCUUCAACGACAAGGAUGAUGAGACACCAUGGUUUCCACUACCUGAGCUGCUCCUAUUCUCAUCAUACCUAAUAAGGCUAGAUCUAUAUGGCAUACGGUUGAGUGCAAGAUUUGCCCACUUCUCAAGCUAUCCAGCCCAGCAAAGACCUGGAGGUUGAGAAAUGCGGCCUCUCAGAGGUGUGGGAGAUGGAGUCACCGUCAUAGAGAUGGCUGAGCAUCAAAGACUAGCAGCAUGUCCUACCCAUAUUGGCACUUCUAGAUUUUUCAUUCAAUAGCUGGUCUAGCUAUGGUUGGACAUCCCUUUUGCGAAUAGGAUAGACUACCUAGCUUGAGAGCAUCUAGACUUCGACUAGUGUUUGGACAAGUGCACUUGUGAGGGUGACUGCAUGGAUUGCUUUCAUGUUAAUCAAGUUGCCUACAACUAUCCAUACAAUGACAUUGACGAUAGUGAUGAAGUUUCCAGUAGUUAUGCAUCUGAUCGUGCUGUAGUAGAUUAUGGCAAUUCCUCUAUUGAAGAUGAUGAUGACGACCUUGAUGAAGAAGAUUUUCUGAUGAUGACAAUAGCAGCAAAGUUACUGGAAAGUGUGUACUUCUUAUUGGAGGUUUAUCAGAAGCUAUAGAUUUGAACCUGUUAUCUGGCCACAAAAUGGGCCACAUAGCUUCGGAGGGUAGAAAAUGGAAGACCAUGUGAUGGGUAAUGCAUGUACUUGAAAUGCAUUCUGCAUUUAUGAUUCUCAAAGAUGAUGCAUGACCCUAUAAGGACUUCUGCUUACUUUCUGAUGCCAAAGAUUUUUGGAAAUUAGUGUCAAGCUCUGCUGAUGUAUCAAUGGGACUGUCCUUGGCAGCAAUCUCCACACAAUCAAUUACAGCUAUCCUGGGUCGAGUAUGACUGUUUUCCAAAGAAUUGGUGCAAGUCAUCAACCGUCUCUCAUGCUGAUUUCUUGCAAGAAGUUUAACAAUGUCCACGGGGAUGUCAUCUAUCACAUUAUGUUUCUCAUGCAUCUUUCGCUUUCCUUUCUUCUUAUUCUUGGGUAUAUUCUGCAUAGAGAGGACAAAUAUGUGCAGGCACGUGCACACAUGAAUGUGUGUGUGCAUCUGUGUCUGCGCGCGCGUGAGUGUGUACGUGUGCAUGUCUGUCUCUCUCUCUCUCCCUCUCUCUCUCUGUUUGUGGCAUUUUUCAUAUACAUCCACAGUAGCCAUAGAGUUUUUAGUUAA